rnacentral:rRNA from 1 species
UUACCGUUAGUUACCAUCAGGUUAAGCUGGGGACUCUAGCGGGACUGCCACCGUAAGGUGAGAGGAAGGUGGGGAUGACGUCAAAUCAGCACGGCCCUUAUGUCCAGGGCUACACACGUGUUACAAUGGCCGGUACAAAGGGCAGCUACUUCGCGAGAAGAUGCUAAUCUCGAAAGCCGGUCUCAGUUCGGAUCGAAGUCUGCAACCCGACUUCGUGAAGCUGGAUUCGCUAGUAAUCGCGCAUCAGCCAUGGCGCGGUGAAUACGUUCCCGGGCCUU